rnacentral:RNase_P_RNA from 2 species
GUGAUGCGCCGCCCCACCGCUGCGCUCUUCGGAGCGGAGAGGAAAGUCCGGGCAACGCAGAGCACCCUGCUUCCUAACGGGAAGGACGGCGGCUGGGAACGGCCGCCGGACAGCCAGUGCCACAGAAAACUACCGCCAGGUUUUAGUGCUUAGAACAUGGUGCCUAGUGCUUAGCUCGUUCUAUGCACCAAGCACUAUCCCCUAAGCACCAAACUUGGUAAGGGUGAAAAGGUGCGGUAAGAGCGCACCAGCGGGCGGGCGACCGUUCCGGCUGGGUAAACCUCAGGGGUUGAAAGGCCAAAUAGGCCGGCAGGCAAGGCCGCAAGGCGUUGCACCAGGCGGCUCGUCUGGUGUCGGCGGGUAGGCUGAUGGAGCCCGCGCGCGAGUACGGGCCUAGAUAAAUGGUGGGGCCGCGCUUUCGGGCGCGGACAAAACCCGGCUUACAGGCGCAUCACCGAA